rnacentral:rRNA from 1 species
AGUGAACGCUGGCGAUAGGCCUAACACAUGCAAGUCGAACGGCAGCACAGUAAGAGCUUGCUCUUACGGGUGGCGAGUGGCGGACGGGCGAGGAAUACAUCGGAAUCUACUUUUUCGUGGGGGAUAACGUAGGGAAACUUACGCUAAUACCGCAUACGACCUACGGGUGAAAGCAGGGGAUCUUCGGACCUUGCGCGAUUGAAUGAGCCGAUGUCGGAUUAGCUAGUUGGCGGGGUAAAGGCCCACCAAGGCGACGAUCCGUAGCUGGUCUGAGAGGAUGAUCAGCCACACUGGAACUGAGACACGGUCCAGACUCCUACGGGAGGCAGCAGUGGGGAAUAUUGGACAAUGGGCGCAAGCCUGAUCCAGCCAUACCGCGUGGGUGAAGAAGGCCUUCGGGUUGUAAAGCCCUUUUGUUGGGAAAGAAAAGCAGCAGGUUAAUACCCCGCUGUUCUGACGGUACCCAAAGAAUAAGCACCGGCUAACUUCGUG